rnacentral:pre_miRNA from 12 species
GAAGAUAUAGCUGUGCAAUUAAACGGGAAAAGUUGUAGCGCUGUAUGUUUAAUUAUUUCAUAAGCGUAUAGCUUUUCCCCUUAGUUGCACAUGCACAACACC